UACAGAGGGUGCGAGCGUUGUUCGGAAUUACUGGGCGUAAAGGGCGCGUAGGCGGCCUGCUAAGUCGAACGUGAAAUCCCUGGGCUCAACCCAGGAACUGCGUCCGAUACUGGUUGGCUUGAAUCCGGGAGAGGGAUGUGGAAUUCCAGGUGUAGCGGUGAAAUGCGUAGAUAUCUGGAGGAACACCGGUGGCGAAGGCGACAUCCUGGACCGGUAUUGACGCUGAGGCGCGAAAGCCAGGGGAGCAAACGGG
rnacentral:rRNA from 1 species